rnacentral:rRNA from 1 species
CUACGGGAGGCAGCAGUGGGGAAUCUUGCGCAAUGGGCGAAAGCCUGACGCAGCAACGCCGCGUGGGGGAUGAAGGCUCUCGGGUUGUAAACCCCUUUCAGCAGGGACGAAUCAAGACGGUACCUGCAGAAGAAGCCCCGGCUAACUACGUGCCAGCAGCCGCGGUAACACGUAGGGGGCAAGCGUUGUCCGGAUUUAUUGGGCGUAAAGAGCUCGUAGGCGGCUCGGUAAGUCGGGUGUCAAAUCCCCAGGCUCAACCUGGGGCUGCACUCGAUACUGCUGUGGCUAGAGUCCGGUAGGGGAGCAUGGAAUUCCUGGUGUAGCGGUGAAAUGCGCAGAUAUCAGGAGGAACACCAGCGGCGAAGGCGGCUUGCUGGAUCUCAACUGACGCUGAGACGCGAAAGCGUGGGUAGCGAACGGGAUUAGAUACCCUGGUAGUCC